rnacentral:lncRNA from 1 species
AGUCUUCAGACAUUUCUUUGAAAGGAAACAAUGAAUUGAAACUUGAAGACCAAAGGACUAUUUCAGGCAGAACUAAACAAUCUCCAGAACAAAGUCUACAAGGAAGUAUAGAAGGAGACAGCGAUUGUGAAGAUCAAAGGAACACGGAGGCCUCUAAAAAUCUGACUGCAGGGAAGUGUUCAGAAGCUGUUAAUGAAGAAGAAAGGCCUAUUGCUACUAGUAUGCAAGAGAGAAAGCAAACAUUUGAAGAAUUUCUAGAAGAGCAGAUGCAGUUGGAAGAACAGAGGUUGAAUGAAAG